AGCGAACGCUGGCGGCAUGCUUAACACAUGCAAGUCGCACGGUCAGCAAUGGCAGUGGCGGACGGGUGAGUAACGCGUAGGAAUUUAUCGAUGGGUGGGGGACAACUGCGGGAAACUGCAGCUAAUACCGCAUGACGCCUGAGGGCCAAAGCAGUAAUGCGCCUAUUGAGGAGCCUGCGUCUGAUUAGCUUGUUGGUGGGGUAACGGCUUACCAAGGCGACGAUCAGUAGCUGGUCUGAGAGGAUGAUCAGCCACAUUGGGACUGAGACACGGCCCAAACUCCUACGGGAGGCAGCAGUGGGGAAUAUUGGACAAUGGGCGCAAGCCUGAUCCAGCAAUGCCGCGUGUGUGAAGAAGGUCUUCGGAUUGUAAAGCACUUUUGGCAGGGACGAUGAUGACGGUACCUGCAGAAUAAGCCCCGGCUAACUUCGUGCCAGCAGCCGCGGUAAUACGAAGGGGGCUAGCGUUGCUCGGAAUGACUGGGCGUAAAGGGCGCGUAGGCGGCUUGCACAGUCAGAUGUGAAAUUCCUGGGCUCAACCUGGGGACUGCAUUUGAUACGUGUG
rnacentral:rRNA from 1 species